rnacentral:rRNA from 1 species
UACGGGGGGGGCAAGCGUUGUUCGGAAUUACUGGGCGUAAAGGGCUCGUAGGUGGCCAAUUAAGUCAGACGUGAAAUCCCCAGGCUCAACCUGGGAACUGCGUCUGAUACUGGUUGGCUUGAAUCCGGGAGAGGGAUGUGGAAUUCCAGGUGUAGCGGUGAAAUGCGUAGAUAUCUGGAGGAACACCGGUGGCGAAGGCGACAUCCUGGACCGGCAUUGACGCUGAGGCGCGAAAGCCAGGGGAGCAAACGGG